GUGCUCGCUUCAGCAGCACACAUAGUAAAAUUGGAAUAAUACAGAGAUUAGCAUGGCCCUGUGCAAGGAUGACAGGCAAAUUUGUGAAGUGUUCCAUGCUUUU